rnacentral:rRNA from 1 species
UGCGCAGGCGGUGGCUCAAGCCAGGCGUGAAAUCCCCGGGCUUAACCUGGGAAUGGCGUUUGGGACUGGGUCGCUAGAGUGUGGCAGAGGGAGGUGGAAUUCCACGUGUAGCAGUGAAAUGCGUAGAGAUGUGGAGGAACACCGAUGGCGAAGGCAGCCUCCUGGGCCAGCACUGACGCUCAUGCACGAAAGCGUGGGGAGCAAACAGGAUUAGAUACCCUGGUAGUCCACGCCCUAAACGAUGUCAACUGGUUGUUGGGGAAGGAAACUUCCUUAGUAACGAAGCUAACGCGUGAAGUUGACCGCCUGGGGAGUACGGCCGCAAGGUUAAA